AAAAACAUCUAAGGUGAAACUAAUAAUUCAUAGUUUAAUUUAAAUGAUACAGAAAAAGAUUCUAUUAAUUUUGUUUUUUGAGCUUCACCAUAUAAGUAUGGAGAUAACUUCUCUAUAAUUCUCUCCAAUACUUGUUUGUUGAUGUGAACGUCGUUAUUUGUGAUCGCUUUGAUAGUAUUUUAUGUCGACGUUAUUUAACUGAAGUGUUGGUCGGUGUUUGAAAUUAGCUUGGGGACGAAAGAUGUUAUGCUAGCUCUUGAUGAUGGUGAAGAUGAGAUGACUGUAUAUUUUCUUUUCACCAUUUUUCGGAGGUCAUUACGAAUUUCAUAAAAUCGUUUGAUUCAUUCCAUGACAUGAUAGAUGCAGUUGAAUGCAUUGAAGCCAUUAUCAAACUUUCGAUUGAAAUGUGUAAAAGUGUCAGAGAAGAAGAUGAUAUAAAAAAUAGAAAUUGUUUUAUUAAUUUAUAGAAAAAUAAACAUUUGAAUCAAUGGUUGUAAACAAAAACAAUUAUAACCACAAAUUAAACUCAUCUAAAAUUAGUAAAGAUUUUAAUCUUCAUUAAAAUGAUAAAAUUGCAUCAAAAUCAAAAAAAAAAAUUUCCAAUAUAUACUUUUUUUUUGCAAAAAAAAUGAAUGAAUUUAUAAUAAAUAUUAAAAAAAAUUAAAUUAUUAAUUGAAUGAAUCUAAAGAGACAAACUUUUUGAAAUUUAAUGGUUUCGCCUAGAUUUACCGUUGAUUCUUAUAUCCACCGGUAGCUGAUAAACUCAGAAAUCGUUAGACUCACCCCAGUCAUUUAAGUGUUUUUGAUCAUUUUAAUUAUUUUUUUACUCCAUCUAAACCCUAACCCUAAAAGACUUAUAUAGAAAAGUACAGACUUAUGUAAAUGGAUCCUUGAAAAUCCAGAGAUUUUGAUUUGAAAUAAUAUAUUUUAUCAGGGAAUUAAGAUUGCUUUGAAAUAAAAAUAUCAAAUAUUAGACCUAAAUAAACCAUACAUAACAUUAUUAUUUAAUUAAAAAUUAAUUUGAAAUCGACAUAGUGGACAAGAUGUAUUUUUUUAAAAAAACCAUUUUAAUACGCAACACAUAUGAAAAACAUGUUUGCAAGGAGGUUCCGCAAUGGUAUAUUUUUUCUCUUUGAAGUCAUUUGAACAUAUUGAACACAUUUUCUGAUCAUUGAUAUUGCCAUCAUCAUCAACAUCAUCGCCCCAGAAGAAAAUUUUAGUAGAUACGACUAUUCUGUACUUCAAAUCUUUCUUCAUAACCUUAUUGUUCUAUUUCAAAAACAUCUCGGGUGAAACUAAUAAUUCAUAGUUUAAUUUAAAUGAUACAUCCAAAGAUUCUGAUAAUGUUGUUUUUUGAGCUUCACCAUAUAAGUAUGGAGAUAACUUCUCUAUAAUUCUCUCCAAUACUUGUUUGUUGAUGUGAACACCGUUAUUGGUGAUCGUUUUGAUAGUAUUUUCUGUCGACGUUAUGGAACUGAAGUGUUGGUCGGUAUUUAAAAUUAGCUUGGGGACGGAAGAUGUCAUGCUAGCUCUUGAUGAUGGUGAAGAUGAGAUGACUGUGUAGUUUCUGUUCACCGUAACUUCCAUAAGAACGACACGAAAUCGGUAUACAGUUUCAGGCAGAUACCAAUUUUCGCAGGUCAUUUCGAAUUUCAUAAAAUCGUUUGAUUCAUUCCAUGACAUGAUAGAUGCAGUUGAUAUCAUUGCAGCCGUUAUCAAACUUUUGAAUGAAAUGUGUAAAGAGGGUCAGAGAACAUGAUGAUAUAAAAAUUGUAAAUGGUUUUAUUAAUUUAUAGAAAAAUAAAGAUUUGAAUCAAUGGUUGUAAACAAAAACAAUUAUAACCACAAAUUAAACUCAUCUAAAAUUAGUAAAGAUUUUAAUCUUCACUAAAAUUAUAAAAUUGCAUCAAAAUCAAAAAAAAAAGUUCCAAUAUAUAUUUUUUUUUUUGCAAAAAAAUUGAAUGAAUUUAUAAUAAAUAGUAAAAAAAAUUAAAUUAUUAAUUGAAUGAAUCUAAAGAGACAACCUAUUUGAAAUUUUAUGGUUUCUCCUAGAUUUACCGUUGAUUCUUAGAUCCACCGGUAGCCGAAAAACUCAGAAAUCCUUAGACUCACCCCAGUCAUUUAAGUGUUUUUGAUCAUUUUGAUCAUUUUUUUACUCCAUCUAAACCCUAACCCUAAAAGACUUAUAUGGAAAAGUACAGACUUAUGUAAAUGGAUCCUUGAAAAUCCAGAGAUUUUGAUUUGAAAUAAUAUAUUUUAUCAAGGAAUUAAGAUUGCUUUGAAAUAAAAAUAUCAAAUAUUAGACCUAAAUAAACCAUACAUAACAUUAUUAUUUAAUUAAAAAUUAAUUUGAAAUCGACAUAGUGGACAAGAUGUAUUUUUUUUAACAAACCAUUUUAAUACGCAACACAUAUGAAAAUCAUGUUUGCAAGGAAGUUCCGCAACGGUAUAUUUUUUCUCUUUGAAGUCAUUUAAACAUAUUGAACACAUUUUCUGAUUAUUGAUAUUGCCAUCAUCAUCAACAUCAUCGCCCCAGAAGAAAAUUUUAGUAGAUGCGACUAUUCUGUACUUCAAAUCUUUCUUCAUAACCUUAUUGUUCUCUUUCAAAAACAUCUAAGUGAAACUAAUAAUUCAUAGUUUAAUUUAAAUGAUACAGAAAAAGAUUCUAUUAAUUUUGUUUUUUGAGCUUCACCAUAUAAGUAUGGAGAUAACUUCUCUAUAAUUCUCUCCAAUACUUGUUUGUUGAUGUGAACGUCGUUAUUUGUGAUCGCUUUGAUAGUAUUUUAUGUCGACGUUAUUUAACUGAAGUGUUGGUCGGUGUUUGAAAUUAGCUUGGGGACGAAAGAUGUUAUGCUAGCUCUUGAUGAUGAUGAAGAUGAGAUGACUGUAUAUUUUCUUUUCACCAUUUUUCGGAGGUCAUUACGAAUUUCAUAAAAUCGUUUGAUUCAUUCCAUGACAUGUUAGAUGCAGUUGAAUGCAUUGAAGCCAUUAUCAAACUUUCGAUUGAAAUGUGUAAAAGUGUCA
rnacentral:lncRNA from 1 species